rnacentral:rRNA from 1 species
AUUGAACGCUGGCGGCAGGCCUAACACAUGCAAGUCGAACGAGUGGCGGACGGGUGAGUAAUGUCUGGGAAACUGCCUGAUGGAGGGGGAUAACUACUGGAAACGGUAGCUAAUACCGCAUACCAUCGGAUGUGCCCAGAUGGGAUUAGCUAGUAGGUGGGGUAAAGGCUCACCUAGGCGACGGUCCCUAGCUGGUCUGAGAGGAUGACCAGCCACACUGGAACUGAGAAACGGUCCAGGCUCCUACGGGAGGCAACAAGGGGGGAUAUUGGACAAUGGGGGGAAGGCUGAUGGCGCCAUUCCGGGGGUAUGAAGGAGGGCUUCGGGUUGUAAAGGUCUUUCAGCGGGGAGGCGUUACCCGCAGAAGAAGCACCGGCUAACUCCGUGCCAGCAGCCGCGGUAAUAC